GACGAACGCUGGCGGCGUGCUUAACACAUGCAAGUCGAACGAAGAGCGAUGGAAGCUUGCUUCUAUCAAUCUUAGUGGCGAACGGGUGAGUAACGCGUAAUCAACCUGCCCUUCAGAGGGGGACAACAGUUGGAAACGACUGCUAAUACCGCAUACGAUCCGACCUCGGCAUCGAGGAUGGAUGAAAGGUGGCCUCUAUUUAUAAGCUAUCACUGAAGGAGGGGAGUGCGUCUGAUUAGCUAGUUGGAGGGGUAACGACCCACCAAGGCAAUGAUCAGUAGCCGGUCUGAGAGGAUGAACGGCCACAUUGGGACUGAGACACGGCCCAGACUCCUACGGGAGGCAGCAGUGGGGAAUCUUCCGCAAUAGACGAAAGUCUGACGGAGCAACGCCGCGUGAGUGAUGACGGCCUUCGGGUUGUAAAGCUCGGUUAAUCGGGACGAAAGGUCUUCUUGCGAAUAGGUAGAAGAAUUGACGGUACCGGAAUAGAAAGCCACGGCUAACUACGUG
rnacentral:rRNA from 1 species